GAACAGACGAGGAGCUUGCUCCUCUGACGUUAGCGGCGGACGGGUGAGUAACACGUGGAUAACCUACCUAUAAGACUGGGAUAACUUCGGGAAACCGGAGCUAAUACCGGAUAAUAUAUUGAACCGCAUGGUUCAAUAGUGAAAGACGGUUUUGCUGUCACUUAUAGAUGGAUCCGCGCCGCAUUAGCUAGUUGGUAAGGUAACGGCUUACCAAGGCAACGAUGCGUAGCCGACCUGAGAGGGUGAUCGGCCACACUGGAACUGAGACACGGUCCAGACUCCUACGGGAGGCAGCAGUAGGGAAUCUUCCGCAAUGGGCGAAAGCCUGACGGAGCAACGCCGCGUGAGUGAUGAAGGUCUUCGGAUCGUAAAACUCUGUUAUUAGGGAAGAACAAAUGUGUAAGUAACUAUGCACGUCUUGACGGUACCUAAUCAGAAAGCCACGGCUAACUACGUGCCAGCAGCCGCGGUAAUACGUAGGUGGCAAGCGUUAUCCGGAAUUAUUGGGCGUAAAGCGCGCGUAGGCGGUUUUUUAAGUCUGAUGUGAAAGCCCACGGCUCAACCGUGGAGGGUCAUUGGAAACUGGAAAACUUGAGUGCAGAAGAGGAAAGUGGAAUUCCAUGUGUAGCGGUGAAAUGCGCAGAGAUAUGGAGGAACACCAGUGGCGAAGGCGACUUUCUGGUCUGUAACUGACGCUGAUGUGCGAAAGCGUGGGGAUCAAACAGGAUUAG
rnacentral:rRNA from 1 species